GUGUGUUUUGAAAUAUUUAUUAAAAAGCACUCUUAAAUUCCCAGUUGAAACUUUUUGGAGUACAAACACAAAAACAGAAAUAAAAUACAACUCAAAUACCUUCUAGGAACCACUGAAAUAUAGCAAUUACUGAUAUUUCAGAUAAUGAUACUUCAAAGGAGUUAACAUGCAAAUCAGAAUACAGAAUAUUUUUCUCCACUGGAAGUAACUGUGUUCACAUUACUUUCACUUAAAAAGUCUUUAAAAACAAGCUGUCAGAUUGCUGAAUGUAUUUUUUUCAUUACUUUUUAAGCAGACAAUUUCCAACCACAUCUGUAUUCCAAAGCUACUAAGGAGCAAAUUGUUAACUAAACAACAAAAUGGGGAUACACAGAGUUUGUUAGGAAAGAAUUUCCUUAAUUAAUUAGUUUGAAGGUAAGAAUUAUGCUUAUCUCCUUUCCUCUACUGUUUUAUGUUAUUUUAUUUGCUUUUUUUUUAUGGCCGCACCUGAGGCAUAUGGAAGUUCCCAGGCUAGGGGUUGAAUCAGAACUGUAGCUGCCGGCCUACACCACAGCCACAGCAAUGAGGAUCCGAGCAACAUCUGCAACCUACAUCACAGCUCAUGGCAAGGCUGGGUCCUUAACCCACUAAGCAAAGCCAGGGAUCGAAUCUGUGUCCUCAUAGAUACUAGUUGUAUUUAUUACCACUGAGCCAUGACAGGAACUCCCUCCUGUGCUGUUUUCUUAGUGGAAAUAUAUACAGUUGGCUUUCUGUAUCCACAGGUUCUGCAUCUGUAAAUUCAACCAGCUGUGGAUCAAAAAUAUUUUAAAAAAUAUUCCAGAACAUUCCAAAUAGCAAAACUUUGGAUUUGCAUUGUAACAGCAACUAUUUACAUGUGUUUACAUUGCAUUUAAAAUGACUUUUAUAGCAUUUACAUUUUAUUAGGUAAUGUAAGUAAUCUAGAGAUGACUUAAAGUAUAGUGGUGGAUGUGUGUAGAUUAUGUGAAAAUACUACACCAUUUUAUACAAGAGUCUUAUACAUUUGAGUUGUUUGCUCUAAGAACUGGCUAGCCUGGGGUCAGCAAGAUCCCAGAUGUCAAAGCAUCUAAACACAGAAAAUAAAAAAUCAUCAAUUUUUUAUUUAUUAAUUUUUCUCUUAUCAAGUAGUCUUAAUUGUAAUCAAUUGUUAUUUCCCCAAUACAGUAUAUUUUUCUACUGUACAGCAUGAUGACCCAGUUACAUAUACAGGUAUGCAUUCUUUUCUCACAUUAUCAUGCCUCUUCAACUUUUGUUUCUUCUGUAGAGGGAUUCUGGUCCCUUCAUUGUGUGUGUGUAUGUAUGUACUGGGUGAUUGUGAUCACAGAGGGAGGAAAUCUUUGUUAGCAAGGAGGAAACAGGGAGGUUUGGCUAUUUAAAGAUUUUAGCAUUGAAUGCCUCUGCUCAAAUGUCCCCAACUCAUGUCUCAGAGUUUAUCCUCUUUCUCAGUAGUGACCUUAAAAUAAUACAUGCUUUUUCAAGUUUUGCUGUUUAAAUGGUACUGUAAUUUUGAAUCCGAGCUGCAGCUUUAACCUAUGUGGCAGCUACAGCCACGCAGAAUCCUUAACCCACUGCACCACAGCAGGAACUCCCAGAAACACUUUUUCAGCUGCCCCCUUUUUGAUUUUGAUUUCUUCUUGUUAUUGUUUAUUACUAUUGUAUACAUAAAAACAGAACUAAGAGCUCAUUUAUAGUCAGCUGAGUGAAAUAUGAAAUUUUUAACUCGAAUUAAAGAGUUUGAGACUGAUGUGGUAAGUUUAAGAUGAAAAAUGCCUGAUAUUAUUCCUUCAUUGAUGAAAAAUGUUCUUCAGCUUUACAGUUAAGCUUUGAUAUCCACAUAAACAUUGGUAUUCUCACCAUGGGCAGUGGCAAUGCUACAGAUUCUGUAAGUGAGUUUGUGGGCUGUGCACAUUGGAAGCUAGAAUAGUAGAGUCUAUUAUUAGUCUAACCUGCAGGAUGGCUGCAAUUAAGAAACAUAUUUGUGAGUGUAACUGCUGUAACUUUCAGGAGGUCCCAACAAAUUAACUUCAGAGCUCUUCAGAGGGGAGAAUAAAGCCUGGCAUUGACUCAUGUGCUCCAUGAAGUCACAAGACAUUUUAACAAUACUGUUAUUUAUACCACCUUAAGUAUUUGUCAACCUUUGGGAAAACUGAAUACUUAUCUGUAAUGGUUGGUAUUAUGUAUAAACUUGGUGAGGCUAUGGUGGCUGGUUGUUUGGUAAAAUAGUAGUCUAGAUUUUACUGUAAGGGUAUUUUGUAGAUGGGAUUAAUAUCACCCAUCAGUUGAUUUCAAGGAAAGAUUACCUUUGAUAAUGUGGCCAGAUCUCAUCCUAUCAGUUGAAGGAUUUAAGAAUAAAAACAGAUUGACUGAAGAAGAAGGAAUUCUGCUUCAAGACUGUAACAUAGAUAUCUCGCCUGAGUCUCUGGCCUACUGGCCAGCCCUACAGAUUUCAGAUUCAGUACUUCAAUGUCAACUCUUGCCUGAAGGUCCAGUCUCUGCUGGCCUAUUCUAGACAUUUUUGGAUUGGUCAGUCUCUACAAUCACAUAAAAUAAGAAACUUCCUUCCUGUAUUUUAAAGAUGCAAGUGAAAUUCUAGUUAAAAAAAAAAACGAAAAAAAACUUCCAAAUUGCUAAGAUUCCUGCUAAGAAAGGAUGUGCACAGUAGCUAUUAGGGCAGUUAAUCAGUUGGAUUUGUCAUGCUGAGGGGAAAACUCUUUAGCAAGACACUGGGUGACUAGUGACAGCCUAAAUACUUGUAAAUCACAAAAUUAUCAGCUCCUUAACUUAAAAGGGGUAGGUUCAGCUUUUUUUAACUUAAUUUUCUUAUUUAUGUCACUUUGCAAAAACCUAAACAAAUGGAACCUUAUCAUGCAGAAAACUUAAAAACUGUAAUAAAAGUUAAACAAGCAAAUUAUUCUGGAAAAAGUAGAAAGACUCUUGUCUACACACUAUGUCAGAACCUAUCAGACCUUGGUAGAUAUCAUGUCCUCAAGAGGUUAACACACUAGUGUCCAAAAGUGCUCUUUGAAAUAUAACAAUGAAAUGUUAGAAAUACCACAAAUUGGACCCAUCGUGAUGCAGUGGAAACAAAUCUGACUAGUAACCAUGAGAUUGUGGGUUUGAUCCCCGGCCUUGCUCAGUGGGUUAAGGAUCCGGCGUUGCCAUGAGCUGUGGUAUAGGUCACAGAUGCGGCUCAGAUCUGGCAUUGCCGUGGCUGUGCGUAGACCAACAGCUGUAGCUCUGAUUAGACUCCUAGCCUGGGAGCCUCCAUAUGCC
rnacentral:lncRNA from 1 species